rnacentral:Y_RNA from 1 species
GGCUUAUCAAAGUGCAGUAAUGCUUACAAGUAAUUUAUCACAACCAGUUAUAGAUUUUUUUUUCUCUACUCUCACUGAUUCACUUGACUAAU